rnacentral:rRNA from 1 species
UACGAGUGGUGCUAGCGUUAUUCGGAUUUAUUGGGCGUAAAGGGUGUGUAGACGGUUUCUUAAGUCACUUGUUUAAUUCUUCGGCCUAACCGAAGCUCAGCAAGCGAAACUGAUUAACUUGAGGAUGGAAGAGAGAAGUGGAAUUCUCGGAGUAGCGGUAAAAUGCGUAGAUCUCGAGAGGAACACCAAUGGCGAAGGCAGCUUCUUGGUCCAUUCCUGACGUUGAAACACGAAAGCGUGGGGAGCAAACAGG